rnacentral:rRNA from 1 species
AUUGAACGCUGGCGGCAGGCCUAACACAUGCAAGUCGGACAGUAGCACAGAGAGCUUGCUCUUGGGUGACGAGUGGCGGACGGGUGAGUAAGGUCUGGGAAACUGCCCGGUGGAGGGGGAUAACUACUGGAAACGGUAGCUAAUACCGCAUAACGUCGCAAGACCAAAGUGGGGGACCUUCGGGCCUCACACCAUCGGAUGUGCCCAGAUGGGAUUAGCUAGUAGGUGGGGUAAUGGCUCACCUAGGCGACGAUCCCUAGCUGGUCUGAGAGGAUGACCAGCCACACUGGAACUGAGACACGGUCCAGGCUCCUACGGGAGGCAGCAGUGGGGAAUAUUGCACAAUGGGCGCAAGCCUGAUGCAGCCAUGCCGCGUGUAUGAAGAAGGCCUUCGGGUUGUAAAGUACUUUCAGCGGGGAGGAAGGCGGUGAAGUUAAUAACUUCACCGAUUGACGUUACCCGCAGAAGAAGCACCGGCUAACUCCGUGCCAGCAGCCGCGGUAA